GAACAGGUAACUGGGAGCUGGCCAGGUCAGGCUCUGCUGCAAUGCAGACCCCUUCCCACAAAGCCUGCCAGACCCCAUCCUGGUGGGGUGGCUGGGGCCCCUUCCCAGCAGGACCAAGCCACUUCCUGGAAAACCCCUCUGCUUGGCUGAAAUCAGCAUGGCUGAGGCAGCACCACACAGCCGUGGCUAUCUCAGCAUGGCUUGCAAUGAACUUUGUUUGCUUGGCUGCUUUUAGCCAGCCAUGCGGCAGGCAGAAGGACAGAAUCAGCAGUAGCAGCUUUUUUUUUUUUUUUUUUUUUUUUGGUGCCCCACAGGAAGAGAAGUCACAGAGUGGUGCCAGCAGCAAGCACAACUCGCACCGUGUCAGCGAAGACCAUGUGACCAACAGAGAGGCACGGAAAAAGGAAAGGAUGAAGACAGGUAGAGACAACAACACAGGACACUGAGGCUACCCCUAAAUGCAUCUUCGGUCUUUUCCACAAAACCCUCAAAUAACCUUAAGGAGAAGCUGCUUUUCAGGAUACACAGUUGCAGACAGUGAAGUAGAGAGGGAGAAUUCACCAGCACCGCUGGAGCUGAGCCCUGAGGGACCCAUCACCAUCUGCUCCUGUGUCUCGGGAAUCCUGAACUUUGCCUCUCGCUGCCCUGCUCAGAGCCGGGCCAGCACUGCCCUGCCCCCACAGUUUCUUUGGUACUGUUCUUGGUUCUUCUCUUCAUGCGGUAGCCAGCAUCCUUCUGCCCUGCUGGGACAUCCCGCAGUUCCAGCCACUGAUACAUCUCACCCACCAGCCUGCUAUUUUUUGCUCAUUCCUGCCGGCUGAGAUGGUAACUGCACCAAAGGGGAAAGUGUCUAAGGCCGAGAAGGCUGUUACUGGGUCCCUGGUUCUAUUUGUUGUUAAUGCCACAGUUAUUGUUGUUUGUUUGCCUUGUUAUACAUGCUAGUGGGAGAAAUGACUGCUCACUUUUAAGAUUUUAAAGGUUUAUUAAACCUUAAAAAAAACACAACAAAAGGACUAAAUAAGGAAAAAUUAGAGCCUUGGGAGCCCCCAUGACUAUCAGCCAUAUGCUCCUCUACAGAAUGGAUGCUCUGCCUGUUAUAUCCUUAGCCCUUCCCAAAGUUUUGUCAGUCAACUACUUCUCUGCUGUCCAUUGGUGGAGAUUACCUUCUUAUAUCUUGAUUAGCAGUCAGGUGUUGUUACACUGCCCCUCUUGGUAAUAAGCCAGCCUUCUCUAAAUGCCCUGACUACUGAGGCUAUUACAAGGGGGAGGGGAAAGAGGACUAUGGGGGGGACAUAUUACAAUAGCAUCACUAUACAUUUUAACAUCUAUAUCAUAUCUGUCCCUUAAUUGUGAGAGUCAACUAUUAUAUUACUCAUCUGUAACACUAGCAAAGAUCUGUUAUUCCUAUCCUCAUAUCUUUGCCUGAGAGUCCCCUUAAUUUCAAAAUUAUAAUAAUUCAGAGGGAGGGUGCUUACAUUCUCCAUUCCAAGGGAGGCUCCUGCCUUCCCUAGCAGACACCUGUCUUCCAAACCGAGGCAGCCACAUAUGAAAGCAGCAGCAAAAACAUCAACUUUCUUCUCAGAUUUGAACAGCUGUUUCAGACCUUUUGAAUGCAAAUUCCACCAAGCCUUUACAGGUUUGUCUUUUAACCAACCCCUACACUAUCAACCACUUAUUUUUCAGAAUGAUGUAAUAUGACAAACACAAGUAUCUGCAGCAGGAGAUUUGUGAACUGUACUCGGGCAAUUUGCACUGCAGAUAUAUUAGGAAUGGUCUGUUUUGCCCUCCCUUCCCUCAAUUUAGUGCUUUCUGCCUUUGUUCAGAAAAAUAAAUGAAUACUCUGUAUUACUAAUUUGAUGAGAUUCUGUUUAUCUUAUAGUUAAAAGACAAGUUCUAGAAAUUUACCCAAAUUCCAAGAUGUGCAAUAUUCACAGAGACAGACAUUCAAGACACUUCACUGGGUCAAAGGACACAUCAUCCCAUUUUUAUGUGAACUAAUUGCCCAGGACAAGUGAUACCUGAAUAUACAGAUCACUUCUCAUUAAAUUAAUAAAAAUAUAUUAAAGUAUAUAAAAAAGAAAGUAAUGUUAGAAAACUAUCAUCCAGUUACUCACACACUUUAGCGACUGAGGCAUUGUCCCCAGUGAGAAGGGUUUGGCUUGCAGGAGCACAGCCCUUUACUCUAAGGCACAGACUUGAGCUCAAUUACUGAGGCUGGGCUGAUUCAGCUUCCAGCAACAAUCCCUUGGUUGGACUCCUGAGUCCAACCAGACAGGUGUAGACAUCUGUCCAAAAAGAAUGGCCUGUGACUUGUGGAGAUUAAAAACCGAUUUGAUUAACUGUCAUUAGGGCCUGAUGACUUUUAGUCAUCAGGCUGGAUGACACUAGAACUGGCUAUGCAUAUGGGUAUGAACAGUUCCUGUCAGAAAGCAGGAUUUCUAAAUUAAAAAUAAAAAUUAAAAAAUAGAAGCCUCAGGUCACCAAUUUCAAUCUUUCAAUUGUCUCCAAAUCUCAAAAGCCAAUCCUAACAGUCUGACUUCACCUCUAAGUCUUUCUGGCAGCAAAAGGACAAAGUAGCUAUUUUCUCCAAAAAUAUUAAUUUUUGCUAGUUAACAAAUAGUCAGUUUGAGCAUUCUUAGCCUUAAGGUGGAAGACAUAGACUCCCCACUGUAAACAGGUGAGAUAAAGUGACUGAAGUAAGACAUAAACAUUUCUGAAAUUAUUUUCUUAGUGAACACAUUCUGGUUGCAGUUUGAUAAAACAUUCUUUGGUCAGAGUCACCUGUGAUUAUUCAAUCUGGCUGCAAGUGGCUCAGAGAAACUGUAAAGCAUUAUGAGGGACAAAAUAAAAUUUACAGGCUCAAAUAUGUAUCUUUUCCUCCACACAAAAUGUUUCCUGUGAGGAACAUUACUGCAUCACAGAUGGACAAAAUACUAAAUUUUGAUUGCCUGGCCAAAAUCCAAAAUCUACAGCUACAGCUCUUUGCUAUGAGAAUGCUUUAAAAAAAACCCACAAAAACCUAAACACCAUUUGAUCUUUUUGUGUUGUAAACCAGGACCUCAUGGUAAGAAUACUAAAUGAAGGUGUUGUAGUUGGUUUAUAGCUAUCUAAUAUGCUUGAAACUCCAUCAGCAGUUCAGAGCCAAUAUCAUGUCAACUGAGCUAAAAAGCAGUAAUAGUUUCUCACCUUCUUAGAGAUUACUGGUAAAAUAAUGUACAAUCGCAAUAGGAAGGCUGCCAAUAUGAAGUUAAGAUGAAACUGCAUCUUUUGGCAGCUAAGAAAUUCAGCAACACAUUUUUAUGAAAUGAAAUCUUCAUAAAUCAAGCCACCAGAGUCUUCAUAACUAAGAAGUUUUGGGUUCCUCUUGAUUCUAGCAGUAUAUUAACCAAGACAUAGCCUCAAAACACAAUUUAAGCCUUGGCACUCAAGUAUUUUUGAGGAAAGCCUUUAAAUGCAGCUCAAAAGGGCAUCUCCCUGCCUACAGACAAGCCGUUCAGAAGUAGUAUCGUGUAUUUGCCAGCAUAUUCUUUACUUUCUGUUACUCACAAAUACUAUCCCUAUUAAGUUACAGAAUGACAAAAUAAAGAAAAAAGCUGAAGAAUAGGAGAGAAAAUGAGUCAGAGUCUCUUGAUUUAAUGCAACCAUAAUCUAAAGAGCCUAAACUUGGGAAAGGUAAAUCUGAACAUGUAAAAAGAAAUAAAACAAUUUUAAUUAAAAAUGUUAAAAAUGGACAGGCUACACCAAAGGGGGGAU